rnacentral:piRNA from 1 species
CAGUCCUCAGUGAUGGGAUACGGUAGAA